rnacentral:ncRNA from 1 species
GACAGGGAAUGAAGUUCUCCCUUGGGAAACCAGAACUGCUUAGAUAGCUGAUGACUUCUACGAUU